AUUGCCUAAAAAGACAAUCAUAUAUAAAUAAUAGUCUCUGACUAUAAUUAAUGAAACACUUUAAAUAAAGUUAUAAAUAAUCCGGCAUGAAUUAAAAUAUCUUUCAAAAAGGCAACAUAAGUUACCCCAUUGGUCUAAAAACUUUUUUUAAAAUUUAAAUUAUAUAUAUUAAGCAUUUAAAAGGCAGCGUGUGCUCGAUAAAAAAAAGUAUUGCUUAAAAUAGUUUGAUACCCGAUAGCAGUAGAUUAAGUUUCAAACCAUUAGAUUAUCUCGAACAUUGGCAGGAAAACAGGAAGUCCAGCAUCGAUUUGGCACGGAAAAAGAGAAACGAGCAUACUGAUCAUGCUUCGGCCUGUUUGCCGAAGUUCUGAAAGGAAAGUCAUUGGAAAACAACAGACAUCUCUAAGCAGGAACGAUCGUACUAAUCCUCUCCUAAAUUUUUGUGUUCGGAAAUUGUGGUGAUGAUCUGACUUUCGGGUGUUGCCGACGAAAGCCGGAAGAUGUUCAUGGUAUCAUACUAUAAUAGCGGGCAGAUAGAUCUUGGAGCUAAAGAAGUUAUGAAGCACUCAGAUUGAAUUAGCUGGCACACGUGGAAUUAAUCAAUAGCUGGUGAUUCCCAACAUGCUGGAUAGUAUGUUAGCAGGAUUUGAUGUCAGGAAUGAUUACAACUAUCACUUAUGGUCGCCAAAGGUCCGGGCAUCUUACUGGUGACUCACCGCCAUCAUCUGUCAACUGAAGACCCAAUAAAAUCAGAAAGGUACCAAAGAAGACGGCCACGAAGCGAAAGGCAACAGAAACAUCGAAAAAAAGGAGUGCACUAGCUAUAAUUUUAUUUAUAAUUUUAUGCAUAUGUUAUGCAUAUACAUAUGUAUGUCAUAUAAAACCUGAGAAUGUUGAGGCUUGACCGCGCAAUAACAGUUAGUUUGGGAGCUUAAACAAGCCCUUAAUAACCAGGACGCCCUGGUUAAUAUAAGACGUCAUAACUGACUAAGAAUUUACGUUAAAACUAAUAGACCCAACCGAAAUCACUCACAAUUAUUACUUGAUCAACGCUGUCUGAGAGCGCUGCGCUACAAGCCCCAUCCCAUGUUUUCUCUAUGUCAGGUAUGUCCCCAAAUCAGCGAAUUGAAACCGACAACAACUUCUCUGUGAUCCCAAAUAAACUCCAUCUGCAUGGAUUCUGCAUGUUAUAUCCUUUGUUGAUACGUCCCAUCUUACUCGGCAAUCUCCAAAACUCCAACCGACAAUGUCACCCUUAUCAAAAGAUAAGUCGAGGUGGCUAUGAUUAAGCUUUCUCAGUUCUGAGUGCACCUCGAACACUCAUAUCAACCCAUAAAAAAGAUCUUGCUGCGCUGAAGAUCUUGGUGUUUCCAGACUUUGCGACCCGAAAAAUUGGUAUUCUUACAAUUUAAUAUUGUCCUGUACUGUAAUAUAAAUACAUAUAUAAUAAUAAUAUAUAAUGUUCACAUAUAAAACUCUCCUGUGCCCAGGAAAAUACUUUGGCAUGUACAAAGUACACACACAACUUUCCUGAACAAACUUUAAAACUGAUGAGAAAUAAGUUCUACCAUCGUUUCACUUAUGCUGAUUGUCUUGGAAUUUUUCGCCAAUAACACUUUGUAAAACCAAAAAGGUUCAGCAUGAUAAGGAUAUGCAUGAUAAGGAUAUCGUGCGCUUCUCUUCCUUAUUCUACUUAUGAAUUCCGUUCUAACAUUGGAUGCACAAAUGCAUAAGUAGCUAAACUUGAAACCUACGGUUAAAUAAAAUUUGAAACAACAUACACAUAGCAAGUCAAUAAAACGAUCACUUUUUAAAGAUGCUAGAACUUAAAGUCUUAAAGAUAUUGAAAGAUGUUAUGUACUUAAUAUCCAAAACUUGUGGGCAAUUCCAAAAACACUCUCCUUUCCAAAUGGCGCUCUGAAUGUGGUUUGAUGUAGAAUGAUUGUUUUUUUUUUUUA